rnacentral:rRNA from 1 species
CCUACGGGUGGCAGCAGUGAGGAAUAUUGGUCAAUGGGCGGAAGCCUGAACCAGCCAAGUAGCGUGAAGGAUGACGGCCCUACGGGUUUUAAACUGCUUUUAUACGGGAAUAACGCGCCUUACGUGUAGGGCUUUGCAUGUACCGUAUGAAUAAGGAUCGGCUAAUUCCGUGCCAGCAGCCGCGGUAAUACGGAAGGUCCGGGCGUUAUCCGGAUUUAUUGGGUUUAAAGGGAGCGUAGGCCGUCUUACAAGUGUGCGGGGAAAUGUCCGGGCUCAACCCGUGCCGUGCAGCGCGAACUGGAGUGCUUGAGUCCGCGGAAGGCAGGUGGAAUUCGUGGUGUAGCGGUGAAAUGCUUAGAUAUGACGAAGAACCCCGAUUGCGAAGGCAGCUUGCUGCAGCGGAACUGACGCUGAGGCUCGAAAGCGCGGGUAUCGAACAGGAUUAGAUACCCGGGUAGUC